UCUUUAGUUGCCAGCGUGUAAUGACGGGGACUCUAGAGAGACUGCCGGUGUUAAACCGGAGGAAGGGGGGGAUGACGUCAAGUCCUCAUGGCCUUUAUGACCAGGGCUGCACACGUCCUACAAUGCGGCAUACAAAGGGAGGCGAACUCGCGAGAGCAAGCAAAUCCCAAAAAGUGUCGCUCAGUUCGGAUUGCAGGCUGCAACUCGCCUGCAUGAAGCCGGAAUCGCUAGUAAUCGCGGGUCAGCAUACCGCGGUGAAUAUGUUCCUGAGCCUUGCACACACCGCCCGU
rnacentral:rRNA from 1 species